ACCCUAAUUUGUUUUAGCAUUUUUUGGGUGAGAGGGCAUGUAUUGUUUUAAAAAUUAAUCUUGUGUUCUCUUAAUGUUAAGUACAAUUCUGAAUUUAUUGCAUUUUAAUAUAUAUGUUACUGUUUAUUUUGUUACUUUACUGUCAUUGCUGAAUUUUGAAUUUAGCUUUCAACUGGAGAUCGAAAUACAUUGAGACAUUGAACAUAUUCAUCAACUUUCAACAUUUUAGCAUUUUUCUAAAGUUUAUUUUCUAAUUUUAACUUUGCUAAAGAACUUUUGAGCUCAACCCAAACUCUUGGCCAUAUACAAAAAAAAUUUUAGGAAAUGGGAUCUUGUGUUGAAAAUGUAUCAGAAGAUGUCAAUAUGAAUUUCUGAUGUGCCAUUUGUAUAAUUUUAGAGAGGGUUCGGAGCCGUAACCUUCUGGGUAUAGCCUUCAGGCCUGAAAUUGGUCCUUGGACCUACAAUUUCCCACUUUAUUUGACAGUCACCUAGUUUUUGUUUACGAUUUCUUUUUUUAUUUUUAGUGUGUGCAAAAUUGCUAAUCUUGUUUUCUUAGCAGGCUAAUGUUGAAACAGGAUUUUCAGUGAAUAUAAUGUUAUUGAGACAAAUUGAGAAAAACAGGAAGCAUGUGCCACACAGAUAUCAUAAGAGGUUUACAUCAAUAGUUUUUGAACUAUGAUGGAAUAUAUUAAUUUGCCAAUCAUGUACUACUUAUGCAACAUGUCUGCCUAUUGCCUCAAAUUGUGGUUGAGUGAUGAUGAUCAUGAAUAGUGAAAAGAGUUAAAAGCACUUUCUAAAAAGUAAUUAUUGGCAGACUUCUUUUUGUUUUAUCAUCUAUUUUGAGCAUUAGAGAUAAAAGA